AUCUCAGCUUUUUUAUAGGUUGAUCGAUACCAUGGAUUAUUCCAUUUCUUUCCAAAUUUUCUUGGCCUUCCAUCUCCUUUUAUUAUAAAUACUUUAGAUGUUGGCUUAUAGCAAUGUCAAUCAGUCACUAAGGAUGCAUUUGGUUACACUUUUUGAUUUUUGAUUUUUAAUUUUUAAAAAGUAUUUUUUAUUUUUUAUUUUUGUUAUUGAGUAAAAGUAAAAAAAUAAAAAGUAUGUUUGAUAACUAUAUUACUAUAAAGCAAAAAAUAAUAUUUAGGGACGGCAGGUGAAGAGCUCGACGAGAGAGAAAGAUUCAGAAAGAGAGGGAGAAGGGGGUGGGGAGGUGAAGAGCUCGAUGAGGGAGAGAGAUUCGGACUCUUUACUUUUUAGUUUGGUAUUUUAGAUAUGCGGAAGCAAAAAAAAAAAGUAGAAAAGUAAAUUUUGAAAAGCAAAAAUUUUUUGUUUUGCAUAUAAAGUAAUUAUUUUGAUUUUUUUGAUUUUUGCUUUUCAUGGUAUUAUCAAAUAUUACUUUUUGAUUUUUAUUUUUUAAAAAUCAAAAAAUAAAAAAAAUACUUUUGUAAUGGCUAACCAAAUGCACCC
rnacentral:lncRNA from 1 species